rnacentral:sRNA from 1 species
CCUCGGACUGACGUCCGGGGCUAUCGCCUGCCGUCGCUACCGCGACU